AUUGAACGCUGGCGGCAUGCCUUACACAUGCAAGUCGAACGGUAACAGGUCCUCGGAUGCUGACGAGUGGCGAACGGGUGAGUAAUACAUCGGAACGUGCCCGAGAGUGGGGGAUAACGAAGCGAAAGCUUUGCUAAUACCGCAUACGAUCUCAGGAUGAAAGCAGGGGACCGCAAGGCCUUGCGCUCACGGAGCGGCCGAUGGCAGAUUAGGUAGUUGGUGGGAUAAAAGCUUACCAAGCCGACGAUCUGUAGCUGGUCUGAGAGGACGACCAGCCACACUGGGACUGAGACACGGCCCAGACUCCUACGGGAGGCAGCAGUGGGGAAUUUUGGACAAUGGGCGCAAGCCUGAUCCAGCCAUGCCGCGUGCAGGAUGAAGGCCUUCGGGUUGUAAACUGCUUUUGUACGGAACGAAAAGACUCUGGUUAAUACCUGGGGUCCAUGACGGUACCGUAAGAAUAAGCACCGGCUAACUACGUGCCAGCAGCCGCGGUAAUACGUAGGGUGCGAGCGUUAAUCGGAAUUACUGGGCGUAAAGCGUGCGCAGGCGGUUAUAUAAGACAGAUGUGAAAUCCCCGGGCUCAACCUGGGAACUGCAUUUGUGACUGUAUAGCUAGAGUACGGCAGAGGGGGAUGGAAUUCCGCGUGUAGCAGUGAAAUGCGUAGAUAUGCGGAGGAACCGAUGGCAAGGCAAUCCCCUGGGCCUGUACUGACGCUCAUGCACGAAAGCGUGGGGAGCAAACAGGAUUAGAUACCCUGGUAGUCCACGCCCUAAACGAUGUCAACUAGUUGUCGGGUCUUAAUUGACUUGGUAACGCAGCUAACGCGUGAAGUUGACCGCCUGGGGAGUACGGUCGCAAGAUUAAAACUCAAAGGAAUUGACGGGGACCCGCACAAGCGGUGGAUGAUGUGGAUUAAUUCGAUGCAACGCGAAAAACCUUACCUACCCUUGACAUGUACGGAAGCCUCAAGAGAUUGGGGUGUGCUCGAAAGAGAGUCGUAACACAGGUGCUGCAUGGCUGUCGUCAGCCCGUGUCGUGAGAUGUUGGGUUAAGUCCCGCAACGAGCGCAACCCUUGUCAUUAGUUGCUACGAAAGGGCACUCUAAUGAGACUGCCGGUGACAAACCGGAGGAAGGUGGGGGUGACGUCAAGUCCUCAUGGCCCUUAUGGGUAGGGCUUCACACGUCAUACAAUGGUACAUACAGAGGGCCGCCAACCCGCGAGGGGGAGCUAAUCCCAGAAAGUGUAUCGUAGUCCGGAUUGCAGUCUGCAACUCGACUGCAUGAAGUUGGAAUCGCUAGUAAUCGCGGAUCAGCAUGUCGCGGUGAAUACGUUCCCGGGUCUUGUACACACCGCCCGUCACACCAUGGGAGCGGGUUUUACCAGAAGUAGGUAGCUUAACCGCAAGGAGGGCGCUUACCACGGUAGGAUUCGUGACUGGGGUG
rnacentral:rRNA from 1 species